GAUGAACGCUGGCGGCGUGCCUAAUACAUGCAAGUCGAGCGAACGGACGAGAAGCUUGCUUCUCUGAUGUUAGCGGCGGACGGGUGAGUAACACGUGGAUAACCUACCUAUAAGACUGGGAUAACUUCGGGAAACCGGAGCUAAUACCGGAUAAUAUUUUGAGCCGCAUGGUUCAAAAGUGAAAGACGGUCUUGCUGUCACUUAUAGAUGGAUCCGCGCUGCAUUAGCUAGUUGGUAAGGUAACGGCUUACCAAGGCAACGAUGCAUAGCCGACCUGAGGGGGUGAUGGGCCACACUGGAACUGAGACACGGUCCAGACUCCUACGGGAGGCAGCAGUAGGGAAUCUUCCGCAAUGGGCGAAAGCCUGACGGAGCAACGCCGCGUGAGUGAUGAAGGUCUUCGGAUCGUAAAACUCUGUUAUUAGGGAAGAACAUAUGUGUAAGUAACUGUGCACAUCUUGACGGUACCUAAUCAGAAAGCCACGGCUAACUACGUG
rnacentral:rRNA from 1 species